GGCAGCAGUAGGGAAUCUUCCGCAAUGGACGAAAGUCUGACGGAGCAACGCCGCGUGAGUGAAGAAGGUUUUCGGAUCGUAAAGCUCUGUUUUUAGGGACGAAUGGUCUUUAUGCGAACAGUGUAGAGACAUGACGGUACCUAAAGAGGAAGCCACGGCUAACUACGUGCCAGCAGCCGCGGUAAUACGUAGGUGGCAAGCGUUGUCCGGAAUUAUUGGGCGUAAAGGGCGUGUAGGCGGGAUAGCAAGUCUGUUGUAAAAGUGCGGAGCUCAACUCCGUAAGGUCAAUGGAAACUGUUAUUCUUGAGUGCAGGAGAGGAAAGUGGUAUUCCCAGUGUAGCGGUGAAAUGCGUAGAUAUUGGGAGGAACACCAGUGGCGAAGGCGACUUUCUGGACUGUGUCUGACGCUGAGGCGCGAAAGCCAGGGUAGCGAACGGGAUUAGAUACCCCGGUAGUCCUGGCCGUAAACGAUGAGUACUAAGUGU
rnacentral:rRNA from 1 species